AAAUGAUUUUUCUUUCCUCUUGAUGUGUGUGUGUUUGGGUGUGGCUGAGUGCCACCCCCUUUUUUU
rnacentral:sRNA from 1 species